UACAGAGGGGGCAAGCGUUAUUCGGAAUUAUUGGGCGUAAAGGGCGCGUAGGCGGCUUUGCAAGUGGCGGGUGAAAUCCCUCGGCUUAACCGAGGAACUGCCUGCCAGACUGUGAGGCUUGAGACCGGGAGAGGUGAGUGGAAUUCCCAGUGUAGCGGUGAAAUGCGUAGAUAUUGGGGAGGAACACCAGUGGCGAAGGCGGCUCACUGGACCGGAACUGACGCUGAGGCGCGAAAGCGUGGGGAGCAAACAGG
rnacentral:rRNA from 1 species